rnacentral:rRNA from 1 species
UACGUAGGGUGCGAGCGUUAAUCGGAAUUACUGGGCGUAAAGCGUGCGCAGGCGGUUUUGUAAGUCAGAUGUGAAAUCCCCGGGCUUAACCUGGGAACUGCGUUUGAAACUACAAGGCUAGAGUGUGGCAGAGGGGGGUGGAAUUCCACGUGUAGCAGUGAAAUGCGUAGAGAUGUGGAGGAACACCGAUGGCGAAGGCAGCCCCCUGGGUUAACACUGACGCCCAGGCACGAAAGCGUGGGGAGCGAACAGG